UACGUAGGGGGCAAGCGUUGUCCGGAUUUACUGGGCGUAAAGCGCACGUAGGCGGAUCGUUAAGUCGGGGGUGAAAUCCUGGAGCUCAACUCCAGAACUGCCUUCGAUACUGGCGAUCUUGAGUCCGGAAGAGGUGAGUGGAACUGCGAGUGUAGAGGUGAAAUUCGUAGAUAUUCGCAAGAACACCAGUGGCGAAGGCGGCUCACUGGCCCGGUACUGACGCUGAGGUGCGAAAGCGUGGGGAGCAAACAGG
rnacentral:rRNA from 1 species